ensembl:lncRNA
GUCUUCUCCAACACCACAGUUCAAAAGCAUCAAUUCUUCGGCACUCAGCCUUCUUCACAGUCCAACUCUCACAUCCAUACAUGACUACUGGAAAAACCAUAGCCUUGACUAGAUGGACCUUAGUUGGCAAAGUAAUAUCUCUGCUUUUGAAUAUACUAUCUAGGUUGGUCAUAACUUUUCUUCCAAGGAGUAAGUGUCUUUUAAUUUCAUGGCUGCAGUCACCAUUUGCAGUGAUGGGUGGUUGCAAAUUAGAGGUUUUCUCAUUCUAUCAUUCUUUUUGCAAGAAUACUGAAGUGGGUUGCCAUGCCCUCCUGAAGGGGAUCUUCCCAACCCAGGGAUUGAACCCAUGUUUCCUAUGACUCCUGCACUGUAGGUGGAUUCUUUACUGCUGAGCCACUGGGGAAGUCCACCAUUAUUUUUAUUAAUGGUCAAAUUGUCCCACAUUUGGCCAGAGGGAGCCCCAUUUCUUUUUAACUUUUCAAUUUUUUUCAUGUUAUACAUUAUCUUUACAGCAAAUUUGGAAAACACCAAAAAGAAGUUUUAAACACUAGCUGAUGAUUGUCAUGUAAAAUUGAGUGUUUCUAUUUUUACUCUUUUCUAUAUACAUACAUAUAUAUACCUUAGCAUAUAUGAAUAUAAUCCUAUAAUUUUCCCUAUUGAGUUGAAAUUGCCCAUUUACUUGUUAGCCUCCCCAACUAAAUAAAUUCCCUGAGUAUGGACGAUGGCCCCUUCAACACAGUGCCCAGAUAGUAUUUGAUAUAAAACACUACUGUCAUAAUCUGUAAAUUGCUAGAUGAACAGUUGCCCACACCAUCUAAAUACUUUUAUAUCUUGAUUUUUUUUCCUAUUAUAAACAUGUUCUAUAGAGUUAAGAAUUUUGAGCUGAGUGGAGUGAAACACAAAAAACUAAGAAUCAGCUUGUGGGGAUUCCCUGGUGGUCCAGUAGUUAAGAAUCCUCCUUGCUAAUGCAGGGGAUCUGGGUUGAUUUCUGAUGAGGGAACUAAGACCUCUUGCACAUGCCAAGAGGAAACCCAGCCCAAGUGCCACAACUACUAAGCCUGUGUACUCUAGAGCCCAUGCUCUGCAACAAGAGAAGCCCAAGAAAAGUCAGGAAAGGAAAUAAGAAGAUGACAUCCCCCCAAAGUAAGCAGGUUUUCAGUUCAGUUCAGUCACUCAGUCGUGUCCGACUCUUUGCGACCCCUUGAAUUGCAGCACGCCAGGCCUCCCUG